rnacentral:rRNA from 1 species
ACAGGUGUUGCAUGGCUGUCGUCAGCUCGUGUCGUGAGAUGUUCGGUUAAGUCCGCUAACGAGCGCAACCUCGUCGUAUGUUAUAUGUGUCAUACGAGACUGCCGGUAAAAAGCCGGAGGAAGGUGAGGAUGAUGUCAAGUCAGCAUGACCUUUAUAUCCAGGGCUACACACACGCUACAAUGGUCUGUACAAUAGGUAGCCAAGCCGCGAGGCGGAGCCAAUCCUGAAAGCAGGCCUCAGUUCAGAUUGCAGUCUGCAACUCGACUGCAUGAAGCCGGAGUUGCUAGUAACCGCAGGUCAGCAAUACUGCGGUGAAUACGUUCCCGGGUCUU